UAACACAUGCAGUCGAGCGGGAGAGAGAGGCUUGUUUCUCUUGAGAGCGGCGGACGGGUGAGUAAUGCCUAGGAAUCUGCCUGGUAGUGGGGGAUAACGUUCGGAAACGAACGCUAAUACCGCAUACGUCCUACGGGAGAAAGCAGGGGACCUUCGGGCCUUGCGCUAUCAGAUGAGCCUAGGUCGGAUUAGCUAGUUGGUGAGGUAAUGGCUCACCAAGGCGACGAUCCGUAACUGGUCUGAGAGGAUGAUCAGUCACACUGGAACUGAGACACGGUCCAGACUCCUACGGGAGGCAGCAGUGGGGAAUAUUGGACAAUGGGCGAAAGCCUGAUCCAGCCAUGCCGCGUGUGUGAAGAAGGUCUUCGGAUUGUAAAGCACUUUAAGUUGGGAGGAAGGGCAGUUACCUAAUACGUGAUUGUUUUGACGUUACCGACAGAAUAAGCACCGGCUAACUCUGUGCCAGCAGCCGCGGUAAUACAGAGGGUGCAAGCGUUAAUCGGAAUUACUGGGCGUAAAGCGCGCGUAGGUGGUUGUUAGUUGAUGUAAAAUCCCCGGGCUCAACCUGGGACU
rnacentral:rRNA from 1 species